rnacentral:rRNA from 1 species
ACGGGGGGUGCAAGCGUUGUUCGGAAUUAUUGGGCGUAAAGAGCGUGUAGGCGGCUGGAUUAGUCAGAUGUGAAAGCCCUGGGCUUAACCCAGGAAGUGCAUUUGAAACUGUCCGGCUUGAGUAAGGGAGAGGAAAGUGGAAUUCCUGGUGUAGAGGUGAAAUUCGUAGAUAUCAGGAGGAACACCGGUGGCGAAGGCGACUUUCUGGCCCUAUACUGACGCUGAGACGCGAGAGCGUGGGUAGCAAACAGGAUUAGAUACCCUGGUAGUCCACGCCGUAAACGAUGUUCACUAGGUAUUGGGGGUAUUGACCCUCUCAGUGCCGAAGCUAACGCAUUAAGUGAACCGCCUGGGGAGUACGGUCGCAAGAUUA